UACAGAGGGGGCAAGCGUUGUUCGGAAUUACUGGGCGUAAAGGGCGCGUAGGCGGCCUUCUAAGUCAGACGUGAAAUCCCUCGGCUCAACCGGGGAACUGCGUCUGAGACUGGAAGGCUUGAAUCCGGGAGAGGGAUGUGGAAUUCCAGGUGUAGCGGUGAAAUGCGUAGAUAUCUGGAGGAACACCGGUGGCGAAGGCGGGUCUCUGGGCCGAUACUGACGCUGAGGAGCGAAAGCGUGGGGAGCGAACAGG
rnacentral:rRNA from 1 species